rnacentral:lncRNA from 13 species
AUGAAGAUGACCAAGAUGAAGACCCUUAUGAUGAUCCACUUCCACUUAAUAAAUAGGAGAUUGAAAACUGUCUUCUCAAACAUUUCUCGUUAUCAGAACUUAAUGAAGAUUCUAAUUACGGCUACUACAUACUUCAGGGGUAGUUUUUCAAAACGGAGCUCUGGCUUCAUCUUUGUUAGGCUGCUAGUCUUUUCCAUUCUCACUAAAGAUGCCCUCUAUAAUAGUAAUACUAAUAAUUAUCAUUUAUUGAAAAUCUAUGUGCCAGGCAAUUUGCAUACAUUAGCAGUUUUCUUCACAAAAAUCAUAUGAAGUGGGAACUAUUAACCCUAAUUUCAGAUGAAGUGAUUUGCCCAAAGCCAAGCAGCUAGAAAUGGACAGAACUGGAUUCAAAGUCAAGUCUAUCAUCUGGUCCGAAACUUUCCAUGUCCAGCCUUCACAGAUUCAGGGGAGAGAGAAGAUGAGACAACAGGACCACUUAUCACUGCUUCCAGCAUGGCCAUCAGUUCCAACAGGAGUGUUUGUUAUGAGUUAUUAUGUCUCCAGCCUUGGUUGCUAGGUCUCUCUGGGAACAGAGUUUAGGGAAUCCCAGGAGACUCUGAGACACCCAAUUAGAAAGGCGAUAAUAGCAGACCCGAGAAUAGACUGAUUGCUUAUCCAUUAUUAUUUUUGUUUCUGGACUCUUCCAUCUGUCAUACAGAGGGCUGUCAGCAAUUACCAUGACGUUCUUUCCAGAAAGGGGCCUCUUGGCCCUGCUAAUCACCUUGCCCAAAACCAAACUGGGUCUUCCAGGUGGCAAAUUCUUCAGAAGCAACAUCAAAAUGCUGCUGUCUCUGGGGCUUCCCCGUGAAUCCUCCGUGGAUACCUUGGGGGCAAAGUGAAAGCACUGGACUUCCACAAAUGAAGAAACAGUUCAUUCCGGGCUUGUUAAGUGCUAGGAGCCUUGUCGAGCAGGUGUUGCCCAGAGGCAAUGUGGUCUUGUAAUGGAUUGGUCAAUUAAUACCAGGGAGCAGAGAAUCAGGCCUGAAUCUGAACAUGAGCUGUUGGAAUAUCAAGAGAGCAUCUGUUCCCCUCACCUCCCAGCAGGAUGUCCUUUCAUUUGUUUUCUUCUUUCUGCAUCAUUCUCUUUUUCUUCUUUGCUCCUCUAUCUAAUAACACCACAGACCUGGAUACCUGCCUUUAGCAGGUAGAGGAUGUCAUUGAUACCUGUUAUGUCCUCCUAAACUCUCACUGCUUUCUCACACUUCCUCUUUCCUCUUCUCUGUCUUGCUGUGGUUCUACUUUUGACUGUAUCUUUCUCCUUAAUGCUCCUUUUCCUGUCUGUUCCUCUCCCUCUCCCACAAUGCUCUCUCUGUCUCUCUUUCAUUCUCUUUCUGUCUCAUGCAUCUUUCUUCCUUUUUAUUUCAUGCACUUCUCACCCUCUAAGAUCUGCCUUUCUCUGAAACACAUUCUCUCUGACUUUCUGUCUCUUCUCUCUUACCUUCUAUCUUUGGGACUCUAUGUCUCUUUAUGUGUGUACAUCUCUCUCUUUCAUAUACAUACAAAGGAUUUUCAUGUUAAACCAUCACCACCAUCUUUCACUCCUACUUCUGUUGUCUGAAAAAAGUACCAUUCAAGUUCAGAAGGCAGAAGUGAAAUCUGGAUCUGGCUGAUUCCAAAGCUUGUGAUGUUGGAAGCUGCCUCAAUUUCCUUCUUCCUCACCUUCCACAUCUAAUCUAUUUCCAGUCCCUGCCAAUUUCAUUCUCUAAAUAUUUCUCAAACAUUAAUUCCACCUCCCCAUCCUUACUGGUAAUUUAUUCAUUCAACAUAUUAUUAUAUGAGCACCUGCUAUAUGUGAUAGGUCUAGGGACAAGUGAAAGAAAAGACUGAAGAAGACACGAUUCCACUCUAUGGGGAACAGAGACGAUCACUGUCUUUGCUCAAGUUCUCAUCACUUCAUGCCUGGGUAAAUAGAACAAAUUUCCCUUAGCUCACUCUCCAUACCGUAGCCAGAAUACCUAAAUUUGUGUUUAAAUCUUUAAAUAAGAUAUCUUCCCUGUAGAAUAAAGAGGUAUCAUAUAGCA